GUGCCAGCAGCCGCGGUAAUACGUAGGGUGCGAGCGUUGUCCGGAUUUAUUGGGCGUAAAGAGCUCGUAGGCGGUUUGUCGCGUCGGCCGUGAAAACCUGCCGCUCAACGGUGGGCGUGCGGUCGAUACGGGCAGACUUGAGUUCGGUAGGGGAGACUGGAAUUCCUGGUGUAGCGGUGAAAUGCGCAGAUAUCAGGAGGAACACCGGUGGCGAAGGCGGGUCUCUGGGCCGAUACUGACGCUGAGGAGCGAAAGCGUGGGGAGCGAACAGGAUUAGAUACCCUGGUAGUCC
rnacentral:rRNA from 1 species